GCCUGGUGGCCAGAGCGAGCGGGAACCACCCGAUCCCAUCCCGACCUCGGAAGUGAAACCGCUUAGCGCCGAUGAUAGUGUGGACCCCCAUGCGAAAGUAGGGAACUGCCAGGCUC
rnacentral:rRNA from 1 species